rnacentral:tRNA from 1 species
AACUCAGUUGGUAGAGCAUGGUGUUUGCAACGCCAGGGGUUGUGGGUUCGAUUCCCAC